UACGAAGGGGGCUAGCGUUGCUCGGAAUCACUGGGCGUAAAGCGCACGUAGGCGGCUUCUUAAGUCAGGGGUGAAAUCCUGGAGCUCAACUCCAGAACUGCCUUUGAUACUGAGAAGCUUGAGUCCGGGAGAGGUGAGUGGAACUGCGAGUGUAGAGGUGAAAUUCGUAGAUAUUUGCAAGAACACCAGUGGCGAAGGCGGCUCACUGGCCCGGUACUGACGCUGAGGUGCGAAAGCGUGGGGAGCAAACAGG
rnacentral:rRNA from 1 species